rnacentral:rRNA from 1 species
CAAAAACAUAGCUAUUAGAAUGAAUAAUAGUGAAUUCUGCUCAAUGAAUUUUUUAAAUAGCCGCAGUACACUGACUGUGCAAAGGUAGCAUAAUCAGUUGGCUUAUAAUUGAAGUCUUGUAUGAAUGAAUAAAUGGGGAGUAACUGUAUUAGAAAUGGAAGGUGAAAUUACUAAGUGAGUGCAAAUGCUCACAAAUAUAUAAUAGACGAGAAGACCCUAGAAAUUUUAAAUAUUGAUAUGACCUCUUUUUUGUUGGGGCAACAGUGUAACAAGUAACUUACAUUAUAAUACAAGAAAUUCGUUUGAAAGAUGAAAUUACUCUAGGGAUAACAGCGUAAUAUUUAUAUGUUUGCGACCUCGAUGUUGGACUAGGAAACGAAUACUUAGAAGGUUAGUUGUAACACUGUUCGA